GUUUGUCUAGCACAGUUGGUAGAGCGCAAGGCUCUUAACCUUGUGGUCUUGGGUUCUAGCCCCAAGGUGCGCA
rnacentral:tRNA from 1 species